rnacentral:rRNA from 1 species
GACGAACGCUGGCGGCGUGCUUAACACAUGCAAGUCGAGCGGUAAGGCCCUUUCGGGGGUACACGAGCGGCGAACGGGUGAGUAACACGUGGGUGACCUGCCCUCAGCUCUGGGAUAAGCCUGGGAAACUGGGUCUAAUACUGGAUAUGACUCCACGGUGCAUGUCGUGGGGUGGAAAGCCUUGUGCGGCUGAGGAUGGGCCCGCGGCCUAUCAGCUUGUUGGUGGGGGUGAUGGCCUACCAAGGCGACGACGGGUAGCCGGCCUGAGAGGGCGACCGGCCACACUGGGACUGAGACACGGCCCAGACUCCUACGGGAGGCAGCAGUGGGGAAUCUUGCGCAAUGGGCGAAAGCCUGACGCAGCGACGCCGCGUGAGGGAUGACGGCC